CUAGCAUAUCAAUAAGCGGAGGAAAAGAAACCAACAGGGAUUGCCCUAGUAACGGCGAGUGAAGCGGCAACAGCUCAAAUUUGAAAUCUGGCGUCUUUGGCGUCCGAGUUGUAAUUUGCAGAGGGCGCUUUGGCAUUGGCAGCGGUCCAAGUUCCUUGGAACAGGACGUCACAGAGGGUGAGAAUCCCGUACGUGGUCGCUAGCCUUUACCGUGUAAAGCCCCUUCGACGAGUCGAGUUGUUUGGGAAUGCAGCUCUAAAUGGGAGGUAAAUUUCUUCUAAAGCUAAAUACUGGCCAGAGACCGAUAGCGCACAAGUAGAGUGAUCGAAAGAUGAAAAGCACUUUGGAAAGAGAGUUAAAAAGCACGUGAAAUUGUUGAAAGGGAAGCGCUUGCAGCCAGACUUGCCUGUAGUUGCUCAUCCGGGUUUUUACCCGGUGCACUCUUCUAUAGGCAGGCCAGCAUCAGUUUGGGCGGUUGGAUAAAGGUCUCUGUCACGUACCUCCUCUCGGGGAGAACUUAUAGGGGAGACGUAAUGCAACCAGCCUGGACUGAGGUCCGCGCAUCUGCUAGGAUGCUGGCGUAAUGGCUGUAAGCGGCCCGUCUUGAAACACGGACCAAGGAGUCUAACAUCUAUGCGAGUGUUUGGGUGUCAAGCCCGAGCGCGUAAUGAAAGUGAACGGAGGUGGGAACCUUUCGGGGUGCACCAUCGACCGAUCCUGAUGUCUUCGGAUGGAUUUGAGUAAGAGCAUAGCUGUUGGGACCCGAAAGAUGGUGAACUAUGCUUGAAUAGGGUGAAGCCAGAGGAAACUCUGGUGGAGGCUCGCAGCGGUUCUGACGUGCAAAUCGAUCGUCAAAUUUGGGCAUAGGGGCGAAAGACUAAUCGAACUAUCUAGUAGCUGGUUCCUGCCAAGUCUCU
rnacentral:rRNA from 1 species